rnacentral:rRNA from 1 species
AGAGUUUGAUCCUGGCUCAGGACGAACGCUGGCGGCGUGCCUAAUACAUGCAAGUCGAGCGGACUGAUGGGAGCUUGCUCCCUGAAGUCAGCGGCGGACGGGUGAGUAACACGUGGGUAACCUGCCUGUAAGACUGGGAUAACUCCGGGAAACCGGGGCUAAUACCGGAUAGUUCUUUUCCUCGCAUGAGGAAAAGUGGAAAGGUGGCUUUUAGCUACCACUUACAGAUGGACCCGCGGCGCAUUAGCUAGUUGGUGAGGUAACGGCUCACCAAGGCGACGAUGCGUAGCCGACCUGAGAGGGUGAUCGGCCACACUGGGACUGAGACACGGCCCAGACUCCUACGGGAGGCAGCAGUAGGGAAUCUUCCGCAAUGGACGAAAGUCUGACGGAGCAACGCCGCGUGAGUGAUGAAGGUUUUCGGAUCGUAAAGCUCUGUUGUUAGGGAAGAACAAGUGCCGUUCGAAUAGGGCGGCACCUUGACGGUACCUAACCAGAAAGCCACGGCUAACUACGUGCCAGCAGCCGCGGUAAUACGUAGGUGGCAAGCGUUGUCCGGAAUUAUUGGGCGUAAAGCGCGCGCAGGCGGUCUCUUAAGUCUGAUGUGAAAGCCCACGGCUCAACCGUGGAGGGUCAUUGGAAACUGGGAGACUUGAGUACAGAAGAGGAGAGUGGAAUUCCACGUGUAGCGGUGAAAUGCGUAGAUAUGUGGAGGAACACCAGUGGCGAAAGCGACUCUCUGGUCUGUAACUGACGCUGAGGUGCGAAAGCGUGGGUAGCAAACAGGAUUAGAUACCCUGGUAGUCCACGCCGUAAACGAUGAGUGCUAGUGUUAGGGGGCUUCCACCCCUUAGUGCUGAAGUUAACGCAUUAAGCACUCCGCCUGGGGAGUACGGCCGCAAGGCUGAAACUCAAAGGAAUUGACGGGGGCCCGCACAAGCCGUGGAGCAUGUGGUUUAAUUCGAAGCAACGCGAAGAACCUUACCAGGUCUUGACAUCCUCUGGACGACCCUAGAAGAUAGGGCUCUCCCCUUCGGGGGACAGAGUGACAGGUGG